rnacentral:lncRNA from 1 species
ACUGCUCAUUAAGUUGGCUAAUCUUAUAUUGAAAGAUAAUGACGGAAACUCCGUGAGAGAAAAUCUUACCUGCUCUGUACUAUUCCAGCGGAGGUUAUCAUCUUUUCUAGCACUAGAGGAGCUGCGCGAGUUCUAACAUACUUUUUAUUUUAUUUUCUCUUUUGAAAGUCUAAAACAUGAAAGCAGAUGCGUUUGGAGAAUGCAAUUCCAAACUAGGUUUAACUUGUUGAAAAGAAAAAGAAAAUGUUUUAUGUUGCGCACCUUGUUCAUUAUUGCUAUUCUUUUUAUCUUCUUCUCUCUCUCUCUCUCUUCCUCAUUCUACUUUAUUCCUCUCUCUCUCUCUCUCUCUCUCUCUCUCUCUCUC